AUACGGAGGGUGCAAGCGUUACUCGGAAUCACUGGGCGUAAAGCGCGCGCAGGCGGGCUGAUAAGUUGGAUGUGAAAGCCUACGGCUCAACCGUAGAACUGCAUCCAAAACUAUCAGCCUAGAGUCUGGGAGGGGAAGAUGGAAUUAGUUGUGUAGGGGUAAAAUCCGUAGAGAUAACUAGGAAUACCAAAAGCGAAGGCGAUCUUCUGGAACAGUACUGACGCUGAGGCGCGAAAGCGUGGGGAGCAAACAGGAUUAGAAACCCUAGUAGUCC
rnacentral:rRNA from 1 species